CCUACGGGAGGCAGCAGUGAGGAAUAUUGGUCAAUGGACGAGAGUCUGAACCAGCCAAGUAGCGUGAAGGAUGACUGCCCUAUGGGUUGUAAACUUCUUUUAUAUGGGAAUAAAAUGUUCCACGUGUGGGAUUUUGUAUGUACCAUAUGAAUAAGGAUCGGCUAACUCCGUGCCAGCAGCCGCGGUAAUACGGAGGAUCCGAGCGUUAUCCGGAUUUAUUGGGUUUAAAGGGAGAGUAGGUGGAUUGUUAAGUCAGUUGUGAAAGUUUGCGGCUCAACCGUAAAAUUGCAGUUGAAACUGGCAGUCUUGAGUACAGUAGAGGUGGGCGGAAUUCGUGGUGUAGCGGUGAAAUGCUUAGAUAGCACGAAGAACUCCGAUUGCGAAGGCAGUUCACUGGACUGCAACUGACACUGAGGCUCGAAAGUGUGGGUAUCAAACAGGAUUAGAUACCCGAGUAGUC
rnacentral:rRNA from 1 species